rnacentral:rRNA from 1 species
GACGAAGGGGGCAAGCGUUGUUCGGAAUUACUGGGCGUAAAGAGCGCGCAGGCGGUCGUGCAAGUCGCGUGUGAAAGCCCCCGGCUCAACUGGGGAGGGUCACGCGAUACUGCUCGACUUGAAGGCAGGAGAGGGAUGUAGAAUUCCAGGUGUAGCGGUGAAAUGCGUAGAUAUCUGGAGGAAUACCGGUGGCGAAGGCGGCAUCCUGGACCAUUACUGACGCUGAGGCGCGAAAGCUAGGGGAGCAAACGGG